rnacentral:rRNA from 1 species
GAGUUGUUGCUGGCCCUCAAUGGGGGCAUGUGCACGCUCUGUUCGCACAUCCACUCACACCUGUGCACCCUCCGUAGUUCUGUGGCCUGGGGGCUCUGCCCUCCUGCUGUGGUUCUAUGUCUUUACACAUACACUCUGUAAUGAAGUCUCAUGGAAUGUAUGCCGCGUUUAACGCAAUACAAUACAACUUUCAGCAACGGAUCUCUUGGCUCUCGCAUCGAUGAAGAACGCAGCGAAAUGCGAUAAGUAAUGUGAAUUGCAGAAUUCAGUGAAUCAUCGAAUCUUUGAACGCACCUUGCGCCCUUUGGCCAUUCCGAAGGGCAUGCCUGUUUGAGUAUCAUGAACACCUCAACUCUCAUGGCUCGCCAUGAUGAGCUUGGAUUUGGGGGUCUUGCUGGCCUGUGGUCGGCUCCUCUCAAAUGGAUCAGCUUGCCAGUGUUUGGUGGCUUCACAGGUGUGAUAACUAUCUGCGCUUGUGGUUUUCCAUCAGAUAACCUUCAGUGAUGGAGGUUCGCUGGAGCUCAUAAACGUCUCCCCUAAGCGGGGACAGCCCUUUGAAUGUUUGAUCUCAAAUCAGGUAGGACUACCCGCUGAACUUAA